CGAUUUGUUCGGUAUGCACAUAUAGCACCGGCACCGCCGCUGCGUACCAGUGUAACCGGGAGAAGGAGAGACCGGGGGUGGGCGGGUGGCGCCAGAGGGCUUGCUCGUCCAACGCCGCGCGCCAGAGGGCUCUGCCUGGCGUCGCUGCGUCCUCGGCCGCUGCGUCGACGUUGCUGUAGUGUCGUGGGCUGGUCGUGCUACCGGUGCCGCCGCGGUGGAGAUCGCCGUUUUAGGCGCCGGCCAUUGGUUACACCGAGGACACGCCGCCUGUACUGGAGGGUAUGCCGCGCCGUGGUCGUGCUCCGCCUGAGGGAGGAGCGCCGCGUCGAAUGCUACAUCCGAGAGGUGGAGGACGCCGUCGUCGCCAAACGCCGAGGCACACCAGGAAGGACAUCAGCAGCAGCAGCAGCAGAGCGACGGAAGCCCAUACAUGCAUACAUACACAGAGGCAGAGGCAGCGGCAGAGGCAGAGAGAGUCAGCCACCAAUGGCUGGCACACAAUACAAUGCGACGCGACACGACACGACACGACGCGAGGCGAUGUGAUGCCAUGGCAGGAGCGGCGCGCAGUGCAGUGCCAUGAUGAGUGAUGAGGUUCGUUACGCUGACAUGCAUGCCUGCCAGUGGCAGCGCUGGCGGAUGAAGAGGAAGGUGAUGGAUGGGUCCCCAGCUUGGUCGCGUCCUUGUCCGCCUAGUCGCCUCCGCGCACCCCUCCCAUUUCCGUGCAUACUCACAAAAAUGAGACAACCUAUUUUCAUCUUGUAUAAUAACACAAGGGAGGCC
rnacentral:rRNA from 1 species